rnacentral:rRNA from 1 species
GACGAACGCUGGCGGCGCGCCUAACACAUGCAAGUCGAACGAGGUCUUUUAGGAAGCUUGCUUCUUGGCUGACCUAGUGGCGGACGGGUGAGUAACACGUGAGCAACCUGCCAAGGAGUGGGGGAUAACGUUUGGAAACGAACGCUAAUACCGCAUAACAUACCGGGGCCGCAUGGUUUUGGUAUCAAAGGAGAAAUCCGCUUUUUGAUGGGCUCGCGCCCGAUUAGAUAGUUGGUGAGGUAAUGGCUCACCAAGUCUGCGAUCGGUAGCCGGACUGAGAGGUUGAUCGGCCACAUUGGGACUGAGACACGGCCCAGACUCCUACGGGAGGCAGCAGUGGGGGAUAUUGCACAAUGGGGGAAACCCUGAUGCAGCGACGCCGCGUGAGUGAAGACGGCCUUCGGGUUGUAAAGCUCUGUUGAGGGGGACGAUAAUGACGGUACCCCUUUAGAAAGCCACGGCUAACUACGUGCCAGCCGCCGCAGUAACAC